rnacentral:rRNA from 1 species
AUUGAACGCUGGCGGCAGGCCUAACACAUGCAAGUCGAGCGGAAGAAGGGAGCUUGCUCCUGGAUUCAGCGGCGGACGGGUGAGUAAUGCCUAGGAAUCUCCCUGGCUGUGGUGGAUAACGUCCGGAAACGGGCGCUAAUACCGCAUAAGUCCUGAGGGAGAAAGUGGGGGAUCUUCGGACCUCACGCUAUCAGAUGAGCCUAGGUCGGAUUAGCUAGUUGGUGGGGUAAAGGCCUACCAAGGCGACGAUCCGUAACUGGUCUGAGAGGAUGAUCAGUCACACUGGAACUGAGACACGGUCCAGACUCCUACGGGAGGCAGCAGUGGGGAAUAUUGGACAAUGGGCGAAAGCCUGAUCCAGCCAUGCCGCGUGUGUGAAGAAGGUCUUCGGAUUGUAAAGCACUUUAAGUUGGGAGGAAGGGCAGUAAGUUAAUACCUUGCUGUUUUGACGGUACCAACAGAAUAAGCACCGGCUAACUUCGUG